UUAUCGGCGGACGGGUGAGUAACGCGUGGGCGACCUGCCUUUUACUGGGGGAUAACAGUGGGAAACUAGUGCUAAUACCGCAUAACAUAUCAAAGUGGCCUCACUUAGAUAUCAAAGGAUAAAUCCGGUAGAAGAUGGGCCCGCGUCCGAUUAGCUAGUUGGUGGGGUAGAGGCCUACCAAGGCGACGAUCGGUAGCCGAACUGAGAGGUUGAUCGGCCACAUUGGGACUGAGAUACGGCCCACACUCCUACGGGAGGCAGCAGUGGGGAAUAUUGCGCAUUGGGGGAAACCCUGACGCCUGAUCGCCGCGUGAAGGAUGAAGGUUUUCGGAUUGUAAACUUCUUUGAUGAGGGACGAAAAAAAUGACGGUACCUCAAAAACAAGCCACGGCUAACUACGUGCCAGCAGCCGCGGUAAUACGUAGGUGGCGAGCGUUAUCCGGAAUUACUGGGUGUAAAGGGCGUGUAGGCGGGUUGGCAAGUCAGAUGUGAAAUCCCAUGGCUUAACUGUGGGGCUGCAUCUGAAACUGCUGAUCUUGAGUAUCGGAGAGGAAAGUGGAAUUCCCAGUGUAGCGGUGAAAUGCGUAGAUAUUGNGAGGAACACCAGUGGCGAAGGCGACUUUCUGGACAGUAACUGACGCUGAGGCGCGAAAGCGUGGGGAGCUGACACGAUUAGAUACCCUGGUGGUCCACGCUGUAAAUUAUGGAUACUAGGUGUAGGGGGUAUCGACCCCCCCUGUGCCGCAGUUAACACAAUAUGUAUCCCACCUGGGGAGUACAGCCGCAAGGUGCAAACUCAUAGGAAGUGACGGCGGGCCCACACAAGCUCUGGAGCAUGUGGUUUAAUUCGCAGCAACGCGAAGAACCUUA
rnacentral:rRNA from 1 species